CAGCCACAUCACAUUGAAGCACCAGUUUCCAUAAGAUCACCUAAGUUAAGCAACAUCAAGCCUGGCCAGUAUCUAGAUGAGUGACUGCUUGGGAAUACCAGGUGCUGCAGG